CACUGGCCAGGAAAAUGAAACCAGCGUUGAUUCGAACUGUGCAUUUGCGCUGGAUUAUGGGUUGAGGACUCUUGACAAAAGUCUUGUAUAUGACAUAUUCGAGAACCUGACUGGCCAAGGCUCUUUACUAGGGAACUACACACUCGACAAGGAGAGCGUGCACGUCAGCGGGUAUCCUUCAGAAGCCACUCCUGUAACCUCUAGGGAAGAACUGCCUUUCUGGGUGAUCAUCCUCAUAUGUUUGUCUGUCCUUCUGGGCUUCAUCCUCCUCUUCCUUUUAUGCUUCUUGAUUGCCUUCUGUCUGAGGAGGAAAGCAGGCAAGUACCAAGUCCAGCAGAGCAUUUUUGGGAUCUACUACCCACAUCUGGACAAGCGAAAAGUACAUUGAUGUGAACUUUAGAGACUUGGCUCCAUAGCUGAAACAGAACGGCCUCUUUGUGUACAACCUCUCUGCACGAAGCAGAAGUUAGCCACCGCUGGGAUCACUGCAAUUUUCUUCUUAAUCAAAAUUGGCCUUGAAGAAAAGGGGGGAAAUGGGACCUGGACUCUUGCCAAUCGACAUUGACCUCCGUGUGAAAUGUCCGUUCUGCGGAAGAGCGUCGGAAGUAUAACUUUAUUUAUUUAUUAAUGCUCUGUGGAAUUCAGAGCACCCUUUUUAUGCUUGUGGACUUGAUGCCUUAUAUUAUUUAAGUAUUGGAAAGUAGUCAGAUGUUGCUUGGAUGGACAACGAUUGUCGAAAAAAAUUUUUCAGUGAUGGGGAAGAGAGAUUUGGAAGGCUGCCUAUCAAGUUUGAAGUUUAUAGCACUUUGAACUCCGUGCUUUUAAUUAUCUUUAACUUGAUCGCUGAAAUUGAGUUUCUUGUUGAGAGAGAGAAUUUUUGUAUUUAAUGAGUAACUUAUUUUUUCCUUUUAAGGACAAUAUUGCUGAAAUAGAAUACUUGAGAGAGGAAUUUCUCCCCAGGCUGAAUUUGACACGGCAGCUUAGGGCUGGAUUCCAGAAUAAAA